rnacentral:tRNA from 1 species
ACUUCGAUAGCUUAUCGAGAGCGAGGUGUUGAAGCCGCCUAGGAGGUGCCGCACCUCGAAGUG